AGGUUCUGUUCUUUGAUCAUCACUGUUCUCCAUACUCUCCACUGUUCUCCAGCCUGAACCAGGGAAAAAGCACAUUGGAUAUCAGGAAGAAGUUCUUUCAUGGGCACUGGAACAGGCUGCCAAGGCAGUGGUCAUGAUAUCAAGAUGCCAAAGGUCAAGUAGCACUUGUUUGGACAGUGCUCUCAGAGCAGAUUUCCUUCCUCAAAAGUAAUUGGCAGGUGCUCACAAAGUUAUGAAUCCAGCUCAGCUCACAACAUUCCGAGUGGCAACUGGCAAUGGAAGUGGAAGAAACUAGCAUGUUUUCUUGGGAUGUUUACUUUUUAUAAAUCUCCUUAUAACUGUAUUAAAAAAUAAUCAGACAUUACUCAAGACUAACGAGUAGCUGUAUUAGCCCAAACUAUUUCCCUGGAAAAAUGCUCAAAGGUACAUUUAUGUUUCUAUGAUCCUAGAAAGCCAGAGGCCAGUUUAGUUUUUCUUAUGAGUAAGACUAGCUUGAGGUUAUCCAAAUUUGCACAGCAAUCUAUAACUCCAGCACUCAAACUGUUUUGCCAAUACUAAUGCUGCUUCUUGUGACCUUUCACUGUUGGUGCUGGUGGUGUAGCCAUGAUUGCUUAAAUAUAAAAUAACUAUAAUAUAAACACAGAGAGGCAAUAGUUGUAUAGUUGAACUAACCUGUAGAAUUGGAGGAAAGAAAAUGCUUCUAAAUGUUAAUUCAUUACAGGGCAACUCUUAGCAUACCUCUGCCCCAGAGAAAAGUUGGGGGAGGACAGAGUGAAGCAAAACUGAUAAACAAAAUAAUCUCACUUGGUAGCUUGUACUGUCUUGAAUUUCUGUCAGCUGAAGAGUACCUCUACCACAGUUAUUUGCAACACUUCAGUGCUAUCUGGAUAUCAAAUGAAGCUGUUAAUCCUGGUCAGAACAUUUAUUUAACUUGUUUGAUAAACACCAUUAAGAGUGAAUCAGUGAUGCUUCUGAGGACACUGCAGUGGUCCAGCCCUGCCCCACUGGAUGUGACACUGUUUACUUAUCAACUGCGUAAUGUUCUAUCCUUUUGCAUUCACAGAUUCAAUGAAGCAUAAGAAUUGAUCAGUUACUUAUUUGUUUAUUUUUCAUAGCUUGUUACUGCCAGUCAUAUAAUUAAUCAUUUCUUUUUAAAAUCCAUUAGGAAAGUUUUAUUCUUAGACCCUCUAUUGCUGACACUUGCACAUCCUGACUACAGGGUAUGCAAAGAAGUAGCCUGGAGUACCCUACAAACAAACAAACAAACAAAUGAAAAAACAGUGAUGGCAAAAACACCAAUACUUCAGAUGCCAAGCUUAGUCAAUUAUGAAUUGAAUAAUAGAAUCGAAAGCAAGAGUCUAGAAUUGGUGAGCAGGAAUAUCUCUUUUGAUCUGUAUUUCGAGGUUUUUAUUCUUUCUAAAUUUAACUAACUCUAAUCAUGGAAGAAACGGUAUUUUUGUACUUUAUAUCUUUCCAGGAACCAGCUGGCAUUGUAAUCCAAGUACUAUUUUUUACAAUACCAGGAUCAAUACUGAAAAUGGGAGAAGUAAUAAGCACUUUCCCAUAAAGUCAGAACACCAUCUACCAAAUAAUAAAUAGGCUGAACC
ensembl:lncRNA